AACGAACGCUGGCGGCAUGCCUAACACAUGCAAGUCGAACGAGAUCUUCGGGUCUAGUGGCGCACGGGUGCGUAACGCGUGGGAAUCUGCCCUUUGGUUCGGAAUAACAGUUGGAAACGACUGCUAAUACCGGAUGAUGACGAAAGUCCAAGGGUUUAUCGCCAGAGGAUGAGCCCGCGUAGGAUUAGCUAGUUGGUGUGGUAAAGGCGCACCAAGGCGACGAUCCUUAGCUGGUCUGAGAGGAUGAUCAGCCACACUGGGACCGAGACACGGCCCAGCCUCCUACGGGAGGCAGCAGUGUGGAAUAUUGGACAAUGGGCGAAAGCCUGAUCCAGCAAUGCCGCGUGAGUGAUGAAGGCCUUAGGGUUGUAAAGCUCUUUUACCCGGGAUGAUAAUGACAGUACCGGGAGAAUAAGCUCCGGCUAUCUCCGUGCCAGCAGCCGCCGUAACAC
rnacentral:rRNA from 1 species